rnacentral:rRNA from 1 species
GACGAACCGAGCGAACGUUGUUCGGAAUCACUGGGCUUAAAGGGCGCGUAGGCGGCCUGGCAAGUCGGGGGUGAAAGCCUGUGGCUCAACCACAGAAUGGCCUUCGAUACUGCUGGGCUUGAGACCGGAAGAGGUCAGUGGAACUGCGAGUGUAGAGGUGAAAUUCGUAGAUAUUCGCAAGAACACCAGUGGCGAAGGCGGCUGACUGGUCCGGUUCUGACGCUGAGGCGCGAAAGCGUGGGGAGCAAACAGG